CAUGAAUCCCUGUCCCUGCAGUGGGGCAAUUUCGGGCAAUCCCUUGGUUGUGGAUCAAGAGCUGCUCUGAGCAGGGGGAGGGGCCAAGGCAACCAGGUUAGGG